GUGCUCACUUGGGCAGCACACAUACUAAAACUGGAACAAUACAGAGAAGAUUAGCAUGGCCCUGCGCAAGGAUGACACGCAAAUUUGUGAUGCGUUCCAUGUUUUU
ensembl:snRNA U6 U6 spliceosomal RNA